GGCAGGCAGGCAGGCAGGCAGGCAGGCAGGCAGGCAGGCAGGCAGGCAGGCAGGCAGGCAGGCAGGCAGGCAGGCAGGCAGGCAGGCAGGCAGGCAGGCAGGCAGGCAGGCAGGCAGGCAGGCAGGCAGGCAGACAGACAGACAGACAGACAGACAGACAGACAGACAGACAGACAGACAGACAGACAGACAGACAGACAGACAGACAGACAGACAGACAGACAGACAGACAGACAGGUCAUUCAGAGUACAGCUUCAGACUCACAUUGGGGUAUCAAUCUAUUCACUCUCAGUACAUUGCCUGCUCUGGGAGAACUGCAGCAGUAUCGUUCAGUCCCAUUUCUUUUCCACUUCAAGCGGAAUCAUGGAACUCUCCAUACUAGAGGUCAACGCCACCUCAACAAAAUUCCCUUUACACUGACCAAUUUAACCAUUUCAAUGGAGACGACUCACUGUCUGGGAAAACCAGGAGUUCUGAAAACUAUUAACUCAUAGAUAUUUUCUCUUAGAUCUAAGCUAGUCCAAACCAGGAGUUCUGAAAACUAUUAUCUCAUAGAUAUUUUCUCUUAGAUCUGAGCUAGUCCAAACCAGGAGUUCUGAAAACUAUUAACUCAUAGAUAUUUUCUCUUAGAUCUGAGCUAGUCCAAACCAGGAGUUCUGAAAACUAUUAUCUCAUAGAUAUUUUCUCUUAGAUCUGAGCUAGUCCAAACCAGGAGUUCUGAAAACUAUUAUCUCAUAGAUAUUUCCUCUUAGAUCUGAGCUAGUCCAAACCAGGAGUUCUGAAAACUAUUAACUCAUAGAUAUUUUCUCUUAGAUCUGAGCUAGUCCAAACCAGGAGUUCUGAAAACUAUUAUCUCAUAGAUAUUUUCUCUUAGAUCUGAGCUAGUCCAAACCAGGAGUUCUGAAAACUAUUAUCUCAUAGAUAUUUUCUCUUAGAUCUGAGCUAGUCCAAACCAGGAGUUCUGAAAACUAUUAUCUCAUAGAUAUUUUCUCUUAGAUCUGAGCUAGUCCAAACCAGGAGUUCUGAAAACUAUUAUCUCAUAGAUAUUUUCUCUUAGAUCUGAGCUAGUCCAAACCAGGAGUUCUGAAAACUAUUAUCUCAUAGAUAUUUUCUCUUAGAUCUGAGCUAGUCCAAACCAGGAGUUCUGAAAACUAUUAUCUCAUAGAUAUUUUCUCUUAGAUCUGAGCUAGUCCAAACCAGGAGUUCUGAAAACUAUUAUCUCAUAGAUAUUUUCUCUUAGAUCUGAGCUAGUCCAAACCAGGAGUUCUGAAAACUAUUAUCUCAUAGAUAUUUUCUCUUAGAUCUGAGCUAGUC